AGACAUCGGGGAAGGCCAAGGGCAAAUUUGGAAUUUCCGAAAAUUAGUUUCGGAAAUUACAAAACGAGAGUUUUAACGAAUUGGGCUCAACAAAAAUUUAAGAGAAAUUAGGCCCAAAACCAUAGGGGUGGCCGGCCAUUAAGGCUUGGCCCAAGCCCAAGUAUUUAAUUACCAUGUGACAAUUAUUAAGGGGGCAAUAUUAUAUAGUCAUGCUAAUCCAUUAGAAUGUUCAAGAAGAACUAUUAAAACAAAAAAAAAAUUGAAGAACCCCCAAAAGGAGCUCUCGGCCGAGCAACAAGAAAGGAAAGAAAAAAAAAAUUCCUAGCUUUGAUUCCAAUCCUAAAAAUCUUAUUCUUCUUGUAUUCAUAGAGUAUGCAAGACGCUCUCCGACGUGAUACAAUUGGUUUGGCAAGAGAGCGACGUUUGCGGCAAGUCGGAAUUUCAAGAGAAAGAUUCUGAGCGAAACGGGAUUUGAGUUUUGACGAGCGUAAGACGCUUAUAAGGUACAGACACCGGUGAUCCACCACUGUAGGCUCCACUUUCUGCUAUUUCGGAGCGCUCCCUUUCAUCCGGAGUCCACAUAUUGGUAUAUAUGUCUUUUGCUGCACAUAUACUUCUGUAUAUCUGACUAUUUGGGUACAGCGGGGCCCUGUCCCAUUAUAUGUUUUCGUUCUGGAGUUGUAGAGGCCUGUAGUCAUAUAUGUGGGUCGAGGGUCCUAUAUGUGUCUGUUUUGUUUACGAUUUGCGUCUUAAUGCGGUCCGUCUGUUUUGGUGGCCAAACUGGCCCCUAUGUUGCAUCAGUGUAUAUAUGAUCGGCGAUGUGUAUUCCGCCGCUCCUUUUGACUUUGGAUAUGAUAUCUUUGCAAGUGUGACCGCUUAAGACAAUAUUUGAUUUUAAAUCUGUUUCAAUGAUUAAUACGAGAUCUGAGAUAAUCUAUAGUAUGACGAUUUGGUAUGUUGUCUGUCCGGGUGCCCAAGUAGGGCGCCAGUCGCGGCCCACGGGGCUGGGUCGUGACAAAAGUAGACUUUCGAAAUAAGCAUAAAUGAUACAGUAUUUCACUUUCCUGCAAAAACCUUCUAUAAAGGACACCAAUA